rnacentral:rRNA from 2 species
AGUUGCGAUCAUAUCAACACUAAUGUAUCGGAUCCCAUCAGAAUUCCACAGUUAAUUGUGUUUGGACUAGAGUGGUACUAGAAUAGAUGAUUUCCUAAAAGUCCGUGUGUUGUGCACUUC